ensembl:snRNA U6 U6 spliceosomal RNA
AGACAUUUGUCUAAUUAUUAAAAUUGGAACGAUACAGAGAAGAUUAGCACGGCCUCCUGUGCGCAAGGACAACACGCAAAAUCGUGAAGCGCCAAUACUCAUU